GACGAACGCUGGCGGCGUGCUUAACACAUGCAAGUCGAACGGAAAGGCCCUGCUUUUGUGGGGUGCUCGAGUGGCGAACGGGUGGGUAACACGUGAGUAACCUGCCCUUGACUUUGGGAUAACUUCAGGAAACUGGGGCUAAUACCGGAUAGGAGCUCCUGCUACAUGGUGGGGGUUGGAAAGUUUCGGCGGUUGGGGAUGGACUCGCGGCUUAUCAGCUUGUUGGUGGGGUAGUGGCUUACCAAGGCUUUGACGGGUAGCCGGCCUGAGAGGGUGACCGGCCACAUUGGGACUGAGAUACGGCCCAGACUCCUACGGGAGGCAGCAGUGGGGAAUAUUGCACAAUGGGCGGAAGCCUGAUGCAGCAAUGCCGCGUGCGGGAUGACGGCCUUCGGGUUGUAAACCGCUUUCGCCUGUGACGAAGCGUGAGUGACGGUAAUGGGUAAAGAAGCACCGGCUAACUACGUG
rnacentral:rRNA from 1 species